CCUAGUGUCCCGGCGUCUCUGAGCACUAAGAGCUGAGGAGGUCAGGCACCACCUGCACUUGCAAAUUCGAGGCCCGGACGCCCUGCAGAGGGGCAGGAACAGGCAGAGUGUCCAGCACCCGAGCACGGAGUGUGCUCCUGCUCUGCUGGUGGGGAGGCAGGCGGCCGCGUGGAAUAUGUUUCUCACACCUCAGAGAUGCCCAAGUUUGGUGCCAUGCAGGAUGUCCAUUUCCUCCGCUGGAAAAUAGCGGCGAGAGUGGGAGCCAGUGCCAGUACUCAUAUGAACAUUUGAUGACUGCUGCUGUGAAGAUUUUAUCAUUGAAACGAUUGUUUCCUGAGCACUUCAUUUCUUCAGCAGGUGAAGCUCAUGAAAAUGUCAUAGUUCAGCAACCAAACUGGCCACGGUUACUGUUUGGAGAGGAUGCCCUGUGAAGAGAACGUAUAGAGCAUCUGAAUUACUUCAC
rnacentral:lncRNA from 1 species